GACGAACGCUGGCGGCGUGCCUAAUACAUGCAAGUCGAACGCAGUGGGGACGGGUGAGUAACACGUGGGUAACCUCCCCUCCGAGGGGAUAACACUUGGAAACAGGUGCUAAACCGAUACUGAUGGAUGGCCCCGCGGUGCAUUGGCUAGUUGGUGAGGUAACGGCUCACCAAGGCGACGAUCCGUAGCUGGUGUGAGAGGACGACCAGCCACACUGGGACUGAGACACGGCCCAGACUCCUACGGGAGGCAGCAGUGGGGAAUGUUGGACAAUGGUGGAAACCCUGAUCCAGCCAUCCCGCGUGUGCGAUGAAGGCCUUCGGGUUGUAAAGCACUUGUGGCAGGAAAGCGGUACCUGCAGAAUAAGCACCGGCUAACUACGUGCCAGCAGCCGCGGUAAUUC
rnacentral:rRNA from 1 species